rnacentral:tRNA from 1 species
GGUGGCGUGUCCGAGCGGCCGAAGGAGCUCGCCUCGAAAGCGAGUGUGGAGCAAUCCACCGCGGGUUCAAAUCCCGCCGCCACCGCCA